UACAGGGGGGGCAAGCGUUGUUCAGAAUUACUGGGCGUAAAGGGCUCGUAGGCGGCCAACUAAGUCCGACGUGAAAUCCCCAGGCUUAACCUGGGAACUGCGUCGGAUACUGGAUGGCUUGAAUCCGGGAGAGGGAUGCGGAAUUCCAGGUGUAGCGGUGAAAUGCGUAGAUAUCUGGAGGAACACCGGUGGCGAAGGCGGCAUCCUGGACCGGCAUUGACGCUGAGGAGCGAAAGCCAGGGGAGCAAACGGG
rnacentral:rRNA from 1 species